rnacentral:misc_RNA from 1 species
CCGAGUUUACAACUCCCAAACCCCUGUGAACAUACCUAAUACGUUGCCUCGACGGAUCAGCCCGCUCCCGGUAAAACGGGACGGCCCGCCCGAGGACCCCUAAACUCUGUUUCUAUAUGGAACUUCUGAGUAAAACAUACAAAUAAAUCA